AACCACAGCCAAGGGAACAGGCUUGGCGGAAUCAGCAGGGAAAGAAGAUGCUGCUGAGUUUGACCCUAGUCUGGCACCGUG
ensembl:miRNA